AUACGGAGGAUCCGAGCGUUAUCCGGAUUUAUUGGGUUUAAAGGGUGCGCAGGCGGCCAUUUAAGUCAGCGGUUAAAUCGUGGGGCUCAACCCCAUUCUGCCGUUGAUACUGGGUGGCUUGAUUGCGGUCGAGGUUGGCGGAAUUCGUUGUGUAGCGGUGAAAUGCAUAGAUAUGACGAAGAACACCGAUUGCGUAGGCAGCUGACCAGACCGCAAAUGACGCUCAUGCACGAAAGUGCGGGGAUCGAACAGGAUUAGAUACCCUGGUGGUCCGCACAGUAAACGAUGAAUACUUGUUUUCGGCGAUAUAAUGUCGGAGGCAAAGCGAAAGCGAUAAGUAUUCCACCUGGGGAGUACGCCGGCAACGGUGAAACUUAAAGGAAUUGACGGGG
rnacentral:rRNA from 1 species